rnacentral:rRNA from 1 species
GGAAAGGCGCGCGAUACAGGGUGACAGCCCCGUACACAAAAAUGCACAUGCUGUGAGCUCGAUGAGUAGGGCGGGACACGUGGUAUCCUGUCUGAAUAUGGGGGGACCAUCCUCCAAGGCUAAAUACUCCUGACUGACCGAUAGUGAACCAGUACCGUGAGGGAAAGGCGAAAAGAACCCCGGCGAGGGGAGUGAAAAAGAACCUGAAACCGUGUACGUACAAGCAGUGGGAGCACGCUUAGGCGUGUGACUGCGUACCUUUUGUAUAAUGGGUCAGCGACUUAUAUUCUGUAGCAAGGUUAACCGAAUAGGGGAGCCGAAGGGAAACCGAGUCUUAACUGGGCGUUAAGUUGCAGGGUAUAGACCCGAAACCCGGUGAUCUAGCCAUGGGCAGGUUGAAGGUUGGGUAACACUAACUGGAGGACCGAACCGACUAAUGUUGAAAAAUUAGCGGAUGACUUGUGGCUGGGGGUGAAAGGCCAAUCAAACCGGGAGAUAGCUGGUUCUCCCCGAAAGCUAUUUAGGUAGCGCCUCGUGAAUUCAUCUCCGGGGGUAGAGCACUGUUUCGGCAAGGGGGUCAUCCCGACUUACCAACCCGAUGCAAACUGCGAAUACCGGAGAAUGUUAUCACGGGAGACACACGGCGGGUGCUAACGUCCGUCGUGAAGAGGGAAACAACCCAGACCGCCAGCUAAGGUCCCAAAGUCAUGGUUAAGUGGGAAACGAUGUGGGAAGGCCCAGACAGCCAGGAUGUUGGCUUAGAAGCAGCCAUCAUUUAAAGAAAGCGUAAUAGCUCACUGGUCGAGUCGGCCUGCGCGGAAGAUGUAACGGGGCUAAACCAUGCACCGAAGCUGCGGCAGCGACGCUGAUGCGUUGUUGGGUAGGGGAGCGUUCUGUAAGCCUGCGAAGGUGUGCUGUGAGGCAUGCUGGAGGUAUCAGAAGUGCGAAUGCUGACAUAAGUAACGAUAAAGCGGGUGAAAAGCCCGCUCGCCGGAAGACCAAGGGUUCCUGUCCAACGUUAAUCGGGGCAGGGUGAGUCGACCCCUAAGGCGAGGCCGAAAGGCGUAGUCGAUGGGAAACAGGUUAAUAUUCCUGUACUUGGUGUUACUGCGAAGGGGGGACGGAGAAGGCUAUGUUGGCCGGGCGACGGUUGUCCCGGUUUAAGCGUGUAGGCUGGUUUUCCAGGCAAAUCCGGAAAAUCAAGGCUGAGGCGUGAUGACGAGGCACUACGGUGCUGAAGCAACAAAUGCCCUGCUUCCAGGAAAAGCCUCUAAGCAUCAGGUAACAUCAAAUCGUACCCCAAACCGACACAGGUGGUCAGGUAGAGAAUACCAAGGCGCUUGAGAGAACUCGGGUGAAGGAACUAGGCAAAAUGGUGCCGUAACUUCGGGAGAAGGCACGCUGAUAUGUAGGUGAAGUCCCUCGCGGAUGGAGCUGAAAUCAGUCGAAGAUACCAGCUGGCUGCAACUGUUUAUUAAAAACACAGCACUGUGCAAACACGAAAGUGGACGUAUACGGUGUGACGCCUGCCCGGUGCCGGAAGGUUAAUUGAUGGGGUCAGCGCAAGCGAAGCUCUUGAUCGAAGCCCCGGUAAACGGCGGCCGUAACUAUAACGGUCCUAAGGUAGCGAAAUUCCUUGUCGGGUAAGUUCCGACCUGCACGAAUGGCGUAAUGAUGGCCAGGCUGUCUCCACCCGAGACUCAGUGAAAUUGAACUCGCUGUGAAGAUGCAGUGUACCCGCGGCAAGACGGAAAGACCCCGUGAACCUUUACUAUAGCUUGACACUGAACAUUGAGCCUUGAUGUGUAGGAUAGGUGGGAGGCUUUGAAGUGUGGACGCCAGUCUGCAUGGAGCCGACCUUGAAAUACCACCCUUUAAUGUUUGAUGUUCUAACGUUGACCCGUAAUCCGGGUUGCGGACAGUGUCUGGUGGGUAGUUUGACUGGGGCGGUCUCCUCCUAAAGAGUAACGGAGGAGCACGAAGGUUGGCUAAUCCUGGUCGGAC